ensembl:snRNA U1 U1 spliceosomal RNA
AUGUAUACUUGGCAGGGAAGAUACCAUGGUUGCAAAGAUGGUUUUCCCAGGGCGAGGCUUAUCCAUUGCACUCCAGAUGUGCUGACCCCUGCGAUUUCCCCAAAUGUGGGAAACUCGACUGCAUAAUAUGUGGUAGUGGUGGACUGUGUUUGUGCUCUCCCCUG